GCCUGUUAUAUUAUGAUGACAGGGGCGGAUCCAGCCAUUUUAAAAAGGAGGGUCCCAACCCAGGACAAAGGGGGGUUCCAACUAUAUGUCCCCAUUCAAUGCAUUGAGCGGCCAAAAAAAGGGGGUUCCGCUUAUGGAUGAUGAAAGCAUGGAAUUGGACGAAAGUUAUAUAGAUACCAGUCUUUAUGAAAAUCGCUGCGCAAUUUUCAUAAAAUGCCGUAAAUAAUGAUAGCAGAAAAAGAAAACAACAACAUUUUACGUCUUCAAAUUAGCACCAAGUCUUAACAGACUGUGAAAGUAAAGAAAACAUUUUUAAUAUUUUGACAUCAUGAAAGUUAAAGUCAUAUAAAAU
rnacentral:lncRNA from 1 species